GGCGCGCGGGACGGGCGGCCAUGCCUCGGUACUACGAGGACAAGCCGGAGGGCGGCGCGUGCGCGGGCGUGAAGGAGGACCUGGGCGCGUGUCUGCUGCAGUCGGACUGUGUGCUCCAGGAAGGAAAAUCCCCUCGGCAAUGUCUGAAGGAAGGAAACUGCAAGGCUUUGAAAUACUCAUUUUUUGAAUGUAAAAGAUCAAUGUUGGAUGCCAGAUCACGAUUCAGAGGAAGAAAAGGAUAUUGAUGAGUAUUCUGUUGAAACCAAGAUGAAUACAGCAGCAGAUUUCUUCUGGUCAUUAAAACACAGAAACCAAAAUAGAAGUUUGGUCAGACCAUGGAACCCUGGAGAGAAUGGAUGAGUUCUGUUUUUGAAUAUGUAUAAAGUAAAUGAUUUUCUUGUUCUAAGUUAUUUUUAGAAGAAAAAUUUAAUUGACCAGUUGUGAGCAGGGAGAAUAAUAAAUGUGUUUUAAGAAUUGUUCUAAAGCACAAAGAUUGUUAUUUUCAAACAUGACUCCUCAACUAAAUGACACAUUUUGUACAUCCUUGGUGAAUAUUCUGAAGGCCACUGAUGGGACUGUUAAAAUCGGUAACAUGGAGCCUGGGGAGAAAAUGUCUAUCAGGAAAGUUUAGGAUAAAACUGUCUUUUAUUCAAUUCGUCCUAUUUGUUCUAAAAUAAAUUGUGUUUGAUUUCUUGGAGAAGAAAUGCUUCAUUUGUAUUGAUUCAUUGAGUUAACAGCCUCACAACUUUAAUAUCAUACAUCAUGGUGGAUACAAAGCCCCCAAUUCUGUAGCCGGAGCUCUUUGCUUUUCUUGCUGGACUGUUUUUGUUUCCCGACUUCAUUUUCAGUCUGGCCCUCUCUACAUAAUGGGAAGGAGGCUAGUGUCAGCCAAAAGCACACGAUCCAAAAAGAAGAGAGAUAACCUCCAUUUUUCGUGGCCACUAGUCAAAUUCUACAAAAGGACUAUUGUCUUCCCUGGAUCACCUGCCCUUGAAUUAGACCAGACCCUGUGGAAAAAGGAAUAGGGCCGUGAUCUCAGCCAGACCUGGGUCUCAUAAUUCCCAUGAAAAUCACACUGGGUGAGUGAUGGGCCUCAUCCCAAAAGGAAAGGAGGAUUCUGCACAAACUGAAAAGAGAUGUGUUCACUAUGGAAAGCAAGAGUGGAAACAUGAAAUGCUUGAAAAAGUUUACAACCACAGUGAUUUUAUUCUGAUCGCUUAAUACAGUACAGAGCUGUACUAUAUAAUAAAGUUUUCAACUUUAUUUUCAGUUUUGAAGAUUGAAGAACCACAGCUUCUUCAUAACAUCCACGGUUCAUCAAAGUUAAAGCAGUUAAGGUAGAAAGAACACUGAACGAACCCCUGUAAUGCCUGACUUUCCUCAGAGGUCCUUCUGCUCAACCCCGAGAGAAAACCACUGUUCUGGUGUUUGCCACACUCUGCUCUUAAGUUUUCCUUCUUCCUUGAGCUUGUUGCAUUUGGCUCCUUGUGAUGUGUUAGAAUACAGCAGUCCCCCCUCAUCCGUGGGGGGUAAUGUUCCAAGACCCCUGAUGGGUGCCUUAAACCAUGGACAGUACUGAAUCCUGUAUAUACUAUGUUUUUUUCUAUACAUACCUACCUGUGAUAAAGUUUAAUUUAUAAAUUAGGCAGGGUAAGAGAUAAACAGUAACUAAACGGAGGAUUAUAACAAUAUACUGUAAUAAAAGUUUAUGUGCA